rnacentral:rRNA from 1 species
UACGGAGGGGGCUAGCGUUAUUCGGAAUUAUUGGGCGUAAAGGGCGCGUAGGCGGCCCGGUAAGUCAAAGGUGAAAUCCCUCGGCUCACCUGAGGAACUGCCUUUGAAACUGUCGGGCUUGAGGCCGGGAGGGGGUAGCGGAAUUCCCAGUGUAGCGGUGAAAUGCGUAGAUAUUGGGAGGAACACCGGUGGCGAAGGCGGCUACCUGAACCGGUUCUGACGCUGAUGCGCGAAAGCGUGGGGAGCAAACAGG